UCAAAUGCUUAACCCAGCCUGCAGCUGCCUGAUCUCAUGUGAUCUCAGGAUCUAAGCAGGGUCGGGUCCAGUGAGUAUUUGGAUGGGAGACUGCACAGGAGUAGGGGGUACUUCAG
rnacentral:rRNA from 1 species